rnacentral:rRNA from 1 species
AUACGGAGGAUCCGAGCGUUAUCCGGAUUUAUUGGGUUUAAAGGGAGCGCAGGCGGCACUUCAAGCGUGACGUUAAAUUUCGGGGCCCACCCCCGUUUUGCGUCGCGAACUGUUGUGCUUGAGUAGGCGGCAGGGAGGCGGAAUUCGCGGUGUAGCGGUGAAAUGCUUAGAUAUCGCGAGGAACUCCGAUAGCGCAGGCAGCCUCCCGUUGCUUUACUGACGCUCAUGCUCGAAGGUGCGGGUAUCGAACAGGAUUAGAUACCCUGGUAGUCCGCACUGUAAACGAUGGAUGCCCGCUGUUGGGCCUUUUGGGUUCAGUGGCCAAGAGAAAUCGUUAAGCAUCCCACCUGGGGAGUACGCCGGCAACGGUGAAACUCAAAGGAAUUGACGGGG